GGAUUACAGGCGUGAGCCACCAUGACCAGGCAUUCCUGAGGUUUUAAUAACCUGAUGUUUCUCUCCUGUUGGAGACAACCCUGAAGAUCAGUUUUUACCCCAGAGGACUGACCAACAAGAGGUCAAGGUGUGCUUGAAAAAGCUGGUGUAGGAGUUGGUUCAGGAAAGGUCAGGCUGUCCAAGCAUUCAGGAAUACCUGUGUGACUCUCCUUGUAAUUAGCACUCAGGUCCCAGAGAGCUACUCACUGCAUGUGUCUUUGACCUGCUGUUGAUUCAUCUCCUCUGCUAAGAAGGUGGGUGACGGCUGGGCUACUUACACCUAGGAGGGUGUUCCAGGCCAGGCCCCAGGGAGCCUAAAAUAAUCAAAAAGGUCAGAAUCUAAUUUGAAAAUAAUGUCUUCAAAGUAAAAUAUUGAGGGUGGCCACAAGGAGAAUAUAUUUAAGUUGACCUGAAUAUACAUUUCAAUUAACAACCGUUAAAAGUGGGUAUUUUUGAAAAAAACAACAAGGCAGUUUCUAAGUUGUUUACCAAUAAUUUACAUUGAAUUCAUAAGCUAUUGAUUGGCUACAUGUUUUUCUUUGUUUUACAAAUUCCCAGAAAGAGAAAUAAUGGGUGAGACAGCUAGUCCAAAAUGAAACUUUUUUAAGCAAUUGUCCCUGGGCACAGGUGUGGGGUGAGACUGAAGUCCCAUACUUUCAUUUCUGUGUGCUUGAUAAAUUUUGCAGCCCUCACAGACCUGAGACUGUUCUGAGAUAUUUUUCUUCUCUCACCUCCUUGUUCAGGACACAUGAACCAUUAACAAGAAAAAUAUUUAAAUAAGAAACUCACCAAGCCAGGAGAAUAAUGAAUGCCUGGAUGUGCCCUCUAGGAAUCUGGAUCUCUUCUCUUUUCCCCACCCUGCCCUCAACUCCCCUUACAUACAUACAACCUGGAUCACAAGACCCAAGAAAACCAUUCCACCAGCUGCUGAGAGAAGAGCCACAAAAGGACCCAGAACUUCUCCAUGGCUACCUUAGAGCACCCUAAAAUGUGCUAACAGCCAUUGUUAGCAUUCAGGAGCUGUUUAUUCCCAUUUUCACACUACACUAAAGAAUUUUAAACAAUCACAAGAUAGACUGGCUGGAAGUUGGUGCUUGGAACAUCCCAUGUCACCUAAAAGCACAGUGCUGCAAUCUCAGAAACCCCAGGCUCAGCCAGCAGAGAGAGGAGAAGCAGCUGGACAUUGGAGACUAUGAUUGGACAUUAGAGAGAAGGAGCUUGACUUCACAGAGAAAGCAUGAUGGAAUAAUUUCAGAGAAAAGUCUGGCCAGGGAUGACCAGACUUCAGGGGAAGAUAAUCUUGCUCAAUAUCCUUUUCUGCUCCCCUUCCUGCUGAGAGUCACUUUGAUUGGCAAUAAAAUAUCUCACAUUUACCAUCUUCAAUUUGUUCUUGCAACCUCAUUCCUCCUGGAUGCCAGACAAGAACUCAGGUGCCAUGAGUAUGGGUGCAAAAGGCUAUCACACUGUCCCUCCACUGAGCUGUUAACACUUAAGCUAUCCAUGGACAGCAAAGCUAAAAGGGCACUGUAAGAGUCCUUCUGGGGUUUCAGAAGUCAUGAGCAUCCCCCAGAUGCUGCCAUGGGGCCAGUACAGAGUUUGCUCCUGCCAGGGUCCAAAAAUGUCUCAGCUCCUGCACCCAGUCACCUGCAUGCUCCCCCUCCCACAAGUGGUGGAGCACAGUGGGCUGAGUGAGUGGAGUUUGCCCCUGCCAGCACCCGUGCACUCCAGUUCCCACCUGUGAAGGUGUCAGAGAGAGAUUCUGCUUCAAAAUCAGAGCGACUCCAUGUUAAAUAGCAGCUGGGUGAGAUAAGGCUGAGACCUACUGGGCUGCAUUCCCAGGAGGUUAGGCAUUCUAACCUUCUAUCAGGAUGAGAUAGAAGGCCAGCAUAAGAUAUAGGUCACGAAGACUCUGCUGAUAAAACAGGAUGUGGUUUAAAAAAAUGCCAGCCAGAACCCACCAAAACCAAGAUGGUGAUGCUCAUUCUCACUGCUCAUUAUAUGCCAGUAUAAUGCAUUUGCAUGCAAAAAGACUCUACCACCAGUGCCAUGACAGCUUACAGAUGCCAUGGCAAGAUCUGGAAGUUACCCUGUAGCCUCUAAAAUGGGGAAGAACCCUCAGUUCUGGAAAAUUUCUGCCCCUUUCCUGAAAAACUCAUGAAUAAUCUACCCUUUGUUUAGCAUAUAAUCAAGAAACAACUAUAAGUAUAGUCAAUCGAGCAGCCAAUCUCACCGCUCUGUCUAUGGAGUAGUCAUUCUUUUGUUUCUUUACAUCUCUAAUAAAAUUGCUUUCAC
rnacentral:lncRNA from 1 species